rnacentral:rRNA from 1 species
UACGGGGGGGGCAAGCGUUGUUCGGAAUUACUGGGCGUAAAGGGCGCGUAGGCGGCUCUUCAAGUCGGGCGUGAAAUCUCCGGGCUUAACCUGGAAAAGUCGUUCGAUACUGUUGAGCUAGAGUGUGGAAGAGGCAACUAGAAUUCCGUGUGUAGCGGUGAAAUGCGUAGAUAUACGGAGGAAUACCUGAGGCGAAGGCGGGUUGCUGGGCCAACACUGACGCUGAGGCGCGAAAGCCAGGGGAGCAAACGGG